GGGUAGGUACGGAAGUAGUCAAACCGAGCACGCUGUAAACGUGCUGGCCUUGUGCCUUCGGGGGUGCAAAUCCCUCCCUGCCCA
rfam:Candidatus Yanofskybacteria bacterium RIFCSPLOWO2_01_FTLL_49_17 rifcsplowo2_01_scaffold_2053, whole genome shotgun sequence.